rnacentral:rRNA from 1 species
UAAGGAAUAUUGGUCAAUGGACGGAAGUCUGAACCAGCCAUGCCGCGUGCAGGAAGACGGCCCUACGGGUUGUAAACUGCUUUUGUACCGGAAUAAACCUCAGGUCGUGACCUGGGCUGAAUGUACGGUAAGAAUAAGGAUCGGCUAACUCCGUGCCAGCAGCCGCGGUAAUACGGAGGAUCCGAGCGUUAUCCGGAUUUAUUGGGUUUAAAGGGUGCGUAGGCGGCCUAUUAAGUCAGGGGUGAAAGACGGUAGCUUAACUAUCGCAGUGCCUUUGAUACUGAUAGGCUUGAAUGUACUUGAGGUAGGCGGAAUGUGACAAGUAGCGGUGAAAUGCAUAGAUAUGUCACAGAACACCAAUUGCGAAGGCAGCUUACUAAAGUAUGAUUGACGCUGAGGCACGAAAGCGUGGGGAUCAAACA